rnacentral:lncRNA from 1 species
UUUCUAAAUCGGAAGGGGGAUGGUCGGGCUGAUUUGCUCUCUGUGGACUCCCGAACGUUUCCGAAAUUGUCCGAUCUUGAGCACCGCUCGCUAGCUGACCGUGCAGCUGCUUAUUUUACUGCGUGUAUUCGCGUCUUCACCAUCCAUCCUUCACUGUUUUUCCAUCAUGGUGGACAUUAUGGUGCUGAUGUUUUUCGCCAUCAUGGGCCUCGUUUUCCUCUCCUACAUCAUCUACAUGCUUUGAUGAUGAGGGGUCCUGUUCGGAUGCGCGGACGGCCAGUCUUCAGCCGUACCCUGGGUGUGUGUUAUCCCACUCCUGCAUCCCUGGUCUCCGUUAUGGACAAUGGUAAAGUAGAAUUGCAUUACGGUCUAAUAGAUAGGCGAUGACGUUUUGCGUAUUUGUAGUAGGAAACAUGUUUUAUGAUGCUGCGGUGAAAGAAAAUGCAAGAAGGAUAGUCUUGGGUGACUCCCUGUAGGCUGUUAGGAUAUAUUUUAAAUUUGGAGAUGAUUUGACGAAGCUGCAUAAAGAAUUAACAAUUGUGCUCAUUGCAAUCAUGUUCUGAUGGAUAACAGGAAGAAGGAUAUAAGUUCCAGGGAGGCUAUAGAUCACCCUGUAGAGAGGAAAAGAACAGUAUCCAGAGUAUGAAGGUUUUAGCUUUGGCUUUUCUUGAUAGUUGGUAAGUAAGGUGUCUUGUACAGUAAAGAUGUUCGUGUGCUGAGGAUGCUCUGUGGUUGGAGCUUAGUGGGGAUGUUAGUUAUGCAUGUCUAUGAUACUUGUAUAAAUAUAUUUGAAGUUUAUUUAGACUAUCUGCCCAGCAACAGCAAAACAGUAUGACUGAAUGUGUAUGUGUUAGAUAUGUAUGUAGAAUUUUGUCCUUUUCUGAUUGUUACACUUGAAAAAAUGAUUAGAAGUAGUUCAUCAACUCAAUAAAAAACGGUAACUGUUUUAAGGCGGUUGUCCUCUUUUUCAGGGAGCAGACCCAGGCUCGGACCAUGAUGUUGUCCCAUUGCUGCCCUCACGCAGGAUGUGAAGAGCAAACCCAGCGGGGAUGAAAACAAAUGGAGAUGAAGCCAAACACCUGUCACCCUUUGCACUGUUGUCAUCUUUCAACACCCACCCAUUCAGAGGAUUCUCUGACCUAUCUGACCCUACAAACUUCUAUCUCCAUACAAAAUCAGUUUAAUCAGUGUUUUUUUUUUCUCUGCGUUUCAAGGUUGUGCAUGCACAUAAUCCUCAUUUGAGGAGAAAUGUUACCACGGCAGGAAGCCAACCGAAUGAUUGCAGGACAGUUUUUUUUUUUCAGGUUGAGUAUAAUUAAGUGAUUGGAUUUGCCUUUUGAAAAGCACUGUGAGUGGCUCUUACUGUAUUACUGUAUUAUGAUAAGGUUGUACAAUAUAAUCUUUUGAUGCCAACCCCUCUGUGGACUCAUGUUUGUUUAUGGAGCUUCAGCCAUGGUGUUAAUUUUAUUUAGUUUGUGUGCUGCCAACAUGUUUUUUUUUCUUACUGUGAACAGAAUUUUCCAUCAGAUUAGAGGGCAGUGUGUUGGGAUCAGAUAUGUAGGAUAAGAUAAGAUAAGAUAAGAAGAACAUUAUUGAUCCCAAAGGGAAAUUCAGAGUUUCAGAGUACCGUCAUUUAAAAGUGGUGUUUGUGUGUUUGUUUUUUCCAUUACUUUGGCUGCUAUAGAAUUACACAAAGACCAAUGGUGAAUGCCUCAGUUUUACCACCAAACCUCAUACAAAUUACCCGUUAUGAUUAAAUAAUGGUGUUUGCACUUGUGAUUCACUAAAGUUAUUGACAGUAUUUCAUAUGUUCUGUCAAAUAAAGAUGAUUUCAAUAAACCCAGUUGCUCCCUCUUUGGUUAAAUACUCAAAGUAAAGUA